rnacentral:lncRNA from 1 species
UGGUGUUACAUUUUGUACCCACGACUGAGCAAAUUGCUGACAUCUUCACUAAACCACUGGAUGAAUCCACUUUCUCUAAGCUGGUUUGUGAGUUAGGGAUGUUAAAUAUGACAUAGUUCUCUUGUAUAUAUUUUUCAUAUGUUAUAUGUUUUUAUAUAUUUUUUUGUGAAUUUUCUGUAUAAUUAUUUCUAUUUUAUUAGAUUUUAUAUGAUUUUCUGUAUAUUAUCUGAUAAUAUUCUGAGUAAUUAUGCAUGCCUGUAUUUUAGUCUGCAAUUUUCUAAGUGCUCAUACACUCCCCUGUACUAUUCCCUAAGCAUUUAGAUAAUUAUUUGUAAUUAUUUUGUAUUUUUCAAAAUUAAUUAAGCAUAAAUAUUUGAUUUUAAGUUAAUUCAUCGUUUUGAAUUAAAGUUAAAGUCAUAAGUAUUUAUAUUUAGUUAAAGUUGUAAUUUACAAAAUAUUUGUGUAAUAUAUAGUAUUGUUUUUAUUAUAGAUUUUUGAUGUUAAUUGCAAAAUGUUCUAUCUUUUUAAUUAAUCAAAAAUCAUAUUAUUAUUAUUAUUAUUAUUUGUUUUUCAGCAAGACAAUUACAUUGUCUACUGAUUGGCUCGGCAAGACAAUUAGAUUGUCUUGCUGAACCGGUUUUUCUGAUUUUCAAACAACUCGGCAAGACAAUUACAUUGUCUUACCGAGUCUGCCAUUAAGCCGCACUUUGUAUCAGUAAGACAAUUGAAAUUGUCUUACUGACACUUGAUUUUGUCUGCUUCGUUAAAAUCUCGGCAAGACAAUUUCAAAUUGUCUUACCGAGACUUAAACUCCCCUUUGUCUUCCUGUGUGCAUAUAUAUACUAACAAGACAAUUGAGCAAGACAAUUCAUAUUGUCUUGCCUCCACUUCAUCUUCCCCAACUCACAUAUACACACACGGUUGAUCAUCGUUUUUCAAGUUUUUCAUCAAAAACUUGCUGGGUUUCCGUUCCUCAAGCUUUACGCUUGCUCUGUUACUCAAUUCCGUUCGAUUUAUAACGAAACUCUGCCGGAUUUUUGUGAGAUUUCGCCUCGAACUCGUCUGUGUUUGCUCGCUUUUACGACUGUUUCCGAAGCUUCAUCUCUGUUAGUUGAUCCUUGUGCGUUGUGAUUGAAACUUUGUGCUUGAUCGAUUUGUAAUUGAGGCUAGGGUUUUUAAAAUCGUUUUUGGGGUUUGUAAAGCUUAAGGGACUGUUUGGCUUGGCUUGUUUUGAUCAUUUGGGGAUUUUCUAAGUUAAGGCUGCGUUUGGCUUGAGUUCUUUAAGAUUGGGGUUUUUGAUCUUAAGGACUUGUUUGGACAUCUAGCUUUGUGGAGUUAAAAUUGAUUAGUGCCAUUUAAAUUAAUUAACUUUUAAUUCGAUAAUAUUUUAAUAUUUCGAAUUAUUAAUUAAUUAAUCAAGUUUAAUUAUUAGUUGAAAUUUGCGAGACAUUUGAGAAUUCACAUUUAAUUUGAAAAAUUCUCGCUUAAUUCAAGUUUUUAAUUAUUAAAAAUGGCCGGAGAAUUCGUGGUUGCUGAGACUAAUUACCUUGCUAGCCUUAACCCUGAUGACUGCUCCGAUAGAUUCCGUACCUGGGUCAGAUUUCUUCGAGACAGAGUUUAGUCAGUACAGCACUCACUACAGAUAUAGAAGUCAAGCUGCAACCCUUGUUUGACUUCUACUCAAAUGCUGUCAACUCUACGACCCUGGAGAACUACAAGAUUAUAGGGGAUCUUCCUAAUAGGAAACGUAUUGUAAUCACUGUCGAUGAUGUGAACCGGA